UACAGAGGGGGCAAGCGUUAUUCGGAAUUAUUGGGCGUAAAGGGCGCGUAGGCGGCUUGGCAAGUGGAUGGUGAAAUCCCUCGGCUUAACCGAGGAACUGCCGUCCAAACUGCUUUGCUUGAGACCGGGAGAGGUGAGUGGAAUUCCCAGUGUAGCGGUGAAAUGCGUAGAUAUUCGCAAGAACACCAGUGGCGAAGGCGGCUCACUGGCCCGGUACUGACGCUGAGGUGCGAAAGCGUGGGGAGCAAACAGG
rnacentral:rRNA from 1 species